rnacentral:tRNA from 1 species
GCCCAGAUGGCGGAAUUGGUAGACGCGUUGGUCUCAAACACCAAUACUUCCGGGUGUACGGGUUCGAGUCCCGUUCUGGGCA